UACGUAGGGGCCUAGCGUUGUCCGGAUUUAUUGGGCGUAAAGAGCUCGUAGGCGGUUCGGCAAGUCGGAUGUGAAAUCUCCACGCUUAACGUGGAGGGGCCAUUCGAAACUGCCGUGACUCGAGUCCGGUAGGGGAGUGUGGAAUUCCCGGUGUAGCGGUGAAAUGCGCAGAUAUCCGGAGGAACACCAGCGGCGAAGGCGGCAUCCUGGACUGGUACUGACGCUCAGGAGCGAAAGCGUGGGGAGCGAUCCGA
rnacentral:rRNA from 1 species